UUGAGAGUGUCUCUUCGACUUUUUCCCAGAAAUCACCUCUUGGCUCUGCGUUUCUCCUCUCACCUCUAGGCUCUGCGUUUCUCCUCCUCCACUUUGUUCUGCUUCUCCAAAAAUCACCGCUUUGUUUCUCCUCUUCCACUCCAUCAUCUUGCUGUUGUUGAUUCUCUCAGUUGCUACUCAGCUCGAUCUAGUGCUAAGGAUCUCCCAGUUAUCGCCAGAACAGCGGGGAGGUUCGCCGGCAAAGCAAUUGGGUAUAUUCAAUUAGCUUGUGGACAGUUCGAAAAUGUUUUGCAGCAGUCUCAAAAUAGGCAGGUGCACAAAGAACUUCAAGAUGCAAUUGCACAACUAGAAGCAAUUCGUUAUGAAAUAUGGAGCAUAUCCGUCAUGAAUCCUAGUCCAAUGACUCAUAGGCUGAUGGAUAAUCCAGAGACUUCACCUUCUAGUAAUGGCAUUAGUGUGCCUGAGAAGCUUGAUGAGAAGACAACUCAACUAACGUCAUCCAAAAGGACUAUACUUCAACAACUUCAAGUUCAGCUGAUUUGCACAGUCAAGCCACUACAUAUGCAAGAUUGGCUGAAUCUAGAGCUUUGAAGGCCAAGAUGAAGGUUGGUUCAUUGAAAGACAAUAGAAAUCUGGAGGAGCUUAAUGAUGAAGCUGGCCUUUUCACAGUUCUUCCUGUUUCUGCAGAAAGCACAAGACUGUCAGAUCGCAAGGAAAAUUCAGAUGGACAUUGCAAAAUCCCUCUUAAAGAACACAAAUUUCCCCAACAGAGGACUAUCGCCGCUUCUGCUACCACUGAUCCUUGUGACCCAAAAUAAACUUCAACGACCCCCACCCAAUACCCAACUAGUGAUGCAUGGAGCCAUGGACAUGGACACAAGAGUUGGAACUCAAUAAGCUUUCAGUAAUCUGACUUGGAAAGAUGAAAAAUGGAUUCACAGACACACCUAAAAUUGGAAAUUUCUCUUAAAAAAUUGUCUUGUGAAUUCUAUCAUCAUAUACUUAUAGAAGUUUUCAUAAGUAAAUUAAAGUUUAUUUUUGUUACCUACAGAUAUUCUAUAAGAAAAGAUGGAACUGACUGUGUAUAUUCGAUGUUCAUUUAUGUUAACUAAACAAGGAGAAAGAAGAAAAGCAUUUGUAUAAGUGUUCUCCCACCCAUUAGAAUCUAUGGUGUCAGUAUUUGACUUGAGUCCAACAUAGACACUUCAUCUGUUUAAGAGAGUCCAUCUAAC